UUCGUGCGGUGCGUAGAAGUGUACAGGGCUGCGGUUUUCACAUCGUGAUUCUGUGUUCCGCAUCCGCAGAAAACUCUUCGUUUUCGAUGGUGAGGUUUUGUUCGGUGCCGCAAUGCCGUACAUACUGCACAGAGCCAGGGAUAAGCUUCCAUUUCUGUCCCACCGAGACGGAACGUCGUCGAGUUUGGCUCGGUAGGCCUCGUAACGGCAAGACGCCUUCCAAGUACGGGAUGGUGCGCAGCAAGCACUUCGACGACGGUGCAGUCAAGCGUUCGCGGACGAGAAAGGUUGAGCUUUAAAUCCAUCCAGACCCAUUUUGGCGACAAGAGGACCAUCAUUGCCAUAGGACUGUACGAUUACAGCGAAGGAGACGCGUGGAAGACGUACAAGAAAGUCAUCCAGGAGGUGGUCAACACUUACAAAGCCGACACCGUCAUCGCCAUUACCUCGGCAACUCCAAUGAAGAGCGAGGCCGACUGUUACGCCGCACCUCCGACUGCCCUCUUCUCUGCGGAUCCGAGGUUCAUUGG